GUGCCCCUACGGGGCGCAGCAGUGGGGGAUAUUGCACAAUGGGGGGAACCCUGAUGCAGCGACGCCGCGUGGGUGAAGGAGUAGUUCGGUAUGUAAAUUCCUAUCGGCAGGGAAGAAGAAAGACGGUACCUGACUAAAAAGCCCCGGCUAACUACGUGCCAGCAGCCGCGGUAAUACGUAGGGGGCGAGCGUUAUCCGGAUUCACUGGGUGUAAAGGGAGCGUAGACGGCCAAGCAAGACAGGGGUGAAA
rnacentral:rRNA from 1 species